CCUACGGGUGGCAGCAGUGAGGAAUAUUGGUCAAUGGGAGGAAUCCUGAACCAGCCAUGCCGCGUGCAGGACGACGGCUCUACGAGUUGUAAACUGCUUUUGUACCGGGGUAAAAUGCUCUACGAGUAGGGUUUUGAAAGUACGGUACGAAUAAGGAUCGGCUAACUCCGUGCCAGCAGCCGCGGUAAUACGUAGGUGGCGAGCGUUAUCCGGAAUGAUUGGGGGUAAAGGGUGCGCAGGCGGUCCUGCAAGUCUGGAGGGAAACGCAUGGGCUCAACCCAUGCAUGGCUUUGGAAACUGGAGGACGGGAGUGCAGGAGAGGGCGGUGGAACUCCAUGUGUAGCGGUCAAAUGCGUAGAUAUAUGGAAGAACACCAGUGGCGAAGGCGACUAUCUGGCACAUAACUGACGCUGAGGAGCGAAAGCGUGGGUAGCAAACAGGAUUAGAUACCCUGGUAGUC
rnacentral:rRNA from 1 species